GCCUGCACCGGCCCAGAGAGGCCAUGUGAGGACACGGCCAGAGGUGGCCAUCGGCACACCAGGAGGAGAGCCCUGACCAGAACCAAACUGGCCGACACCUUGAUCCAGGCCGUGGAGUCUCCGCAGCUAUGAGAAAACACAUUCCUGGUGUUGAAGGCCCAGUAUUCUGUUAGGUGGCCCGAGCGGACUCACACGGGAGCUCACGUCACUGCGGGGCCCUCCCAGCUGGGUGGGGGUGGAGGCGGGAGGACCAAGCCAGGAGCCCGACUUCAGAGCUGGGCCCGACUCUGCCCUGCCCCACAGCUCUCCUGUCAUUGGUGUUUUUGUUUCUUUACUGAAACUCUUGCAGGAAAGAAGCCUUGGGAGCUCAUCUUCGGAGGAAGCCAAGGUGACACUGCCUCAGCCCCCAGCCAAGCAGGGGGAAGCAGGACCCCUGGUGACAGCAAUGGGUGGAUAAGAUCCCCCUUUGUUUGCACACAAAAGGAUGUCACUGGAACCGGCUCAACCAGAUUCCAUUAGGAAAGAGAGAGGCCCUGUCAUCCCCAAGACCCAGGAGCUGGAACUGAGUUUAGGACAUCGGAACUCCUAGGAACUGCCCUGCCUGCCCAGUCCACCUAUCUUAAACAUGUUUUUGUGUAUGUGGGGUUUUUUUGUUUUGUUUUUUGUUUUUUUUAUGUUUUAGCUGCUCUCUUAAAAGUAGUGCAUUGACGUUAAAUACAAUUUUUUAAAAUUCCGGAAAGUAAAAAAUAGGGGGGAGAAAUAAUGCGCCAGCCAAGGUGACAACUGUUGGUGUUUGGGUGUACAACUUUCUUCCUGUGCUUUUCUUGGGUUGGGUGUUAAGAUACUGGCUUUGCGUAGCUGUCAUCAGUCUGCCUGCUGGGAGCCCUCCCUCGGGCUGUAUUAGCAGAUUUUUUCAUUCUCAAUGCCCUCAUUCCCCUGCAGAUCUAUUUAGUUUUCCUGAUGCUGUUUUCACUCGGUAAUGUUUUCUACCGCUCUGCGUUCCACUUGGAUCUAAUAAACGUUGCUUUUAGGUUGUAAAAUGU